rnacentral:tRNA from 1 species
GUAGAUAUAGUUUAAUAAAAACACUAGAUUGUGAUUCUAGAGACAGAGGUUAAAACCCCCUUAUCCACC